rnacentral:rRNA from 1 species
UACGUAGGGUGCAAGCGUUGUCCGGAAUUAUUGGGCGUAAAGAGCUCGUAGGCGGUUUGUCGCGUCUGCUGUGAAAACCCAGGGCUUAACCCUGGGCCUGCAGUGGGUACGGGCAAACUAGAGUGCGGUAGGGGAGAUCGGAAUUCCUGGUGUAGCGGUGAAAUGCGCAGAUAUCAGGAGGAACACCGGUGGCGAAGGCGGAUCUCUGGGCCGUAACUGACGCUGAGGAGCGAAAGCAUGGGUAGCGAACAAG